rnacentral:rRNA from 1 species
UACGAAGGGGGCUAGCGUUGCUCGGAAUUACUGGGCGUAAAGGGCUCGUAGGCGGCCAACUAAGUCCGACGUGAAAUCCCCAGGCUUAACCUGGGAACUGCGUCGGAUACUGGAUGGCUUGAAUCCGGGAGAGGGAUGCGGAAUUCCAGGUGUAGCGGUGAAAUGCGUAGAUAUCUGGAGGAACACCGGUGGCGAAGGCGGCAUCCUGGACCGGCAUUGACGCUGAGGAGCGAAAGCCAGGGGAGCAAACGGG